AAUACGCAGUACACGUCAAAAGAAUAGUGAAAUAUGCAUAAUAAAACAUUGUGUUUCAGUUCUGUUGACUACAACUGAAACUGUUGCAACUUAUCUAGUCACUUACUACUACGCGCACGCGCGUGUUAUUUCACCGUAUCGAAUCGAAUCGAAAGUCGAAAGGGACGACGGCUUUUCGUUUGUUCGGCGCGCGGUUCACGG